UGGGGUGUGACUCAGUGGUAGAGCGCUUCCCUAGGAUGUAUGAGACACUGGGUUCAAUUCUCAGCACUACAU
rnacentral:tRNA from 1 species